GUCGAACGGUGAAGCCCAGCUUGCUGGGUGGAUCAGUGGCGAACGGGUGAGUAACACGUGAGCAACCUGCCCCUGACUCUGGGAUAAGCGCUGGAAACGGCGUCUAAUACUGGAUAUGUGACGUGACCGCAUGGUCUGCGUCUGGAAAGAAUUUCGGUUGGGGAUGGGCUCGCGGCCUAUCAGCUUGUUGGUGAGGUAAUGGCUCACCAAGGCGUCGACGGGUAGCCGGCCUGAGAGGGUGACCGGCCACACUGGGACUGAGACACGGCCCAGACUCCUACGGGAGGCAGCAGUGGGGAAUAUUGCACAAUGGGCGCAAGCCUGAUGCAGCAACGCCGCGUGAGGGAUGACGGCCUUCGGGUUGUAAACCUCUUUUAGCAGGGAAGAAGCGAAAGUGACGGUACCUGCAGAAAAAGCGCCGGCUAACUACGUGCCAGCAGCCGCGGUAAUACGUAGGGCGCAAGCGUUAUCCGGAAUUAUUGGGCGUAAAGAGCUCGUAGGCGGUUUGUCGCGUCUGCUGUGAAAUCCGGAGGCUCAACCUCCGGCCUGCAGUGGGUACGGGCAGACUAGAGUGCGGUAGGGGAGAUUGGAAUUCCUGGUGUAGCGGUGGAAUGCGCAGAUAUCAGGAGGAACACCGAUGGCGAAGGCAGAUCUCUGGGCCGUAACUGACGCUGAGGAGCGAAAGGGUGGGGAGCAAACAGGCUUAGAUACCCUGGUAGUCCACCCCGUAAACGUUGGGAACUAGUUGUGGGGUCCAUUCCACGGAUUCCGUGACGCAGCUAACGCAUUAAGUUCCCCGCCUGGGGAGUACGGCCGCAAGGUAA
rnacentral:rRNA from 1 species